rnacentral:sRNA from 1 species
AAGCAGCGAUGGCCGGCUUCGUAUCGGCUUCUUUGCCGUUUGCUUCUUCAUGUUUACUGUUUUUGUUUCCUGUG